rnacentral:rRNA from 1 species
GUCUCAGUUCGGAUUGCAGGCUGCAACUCGCCUGUAUGAAGUCGGAAUUGCUAGUAAUCGCGGAUCAGCAUGCCGCGGUGAAUACGUUCCCGGGCCUUGUACACACCGCCCGUCACACCAUGAGAGCCGGAACACCCGAAGUCCGUAGUCUAACCGCAAGGAGGACGCGGCCGAAGGUGGGUUUGGUAAUUGGGGUGAAGUCGUAACAAGGUAUC